GCCUGGGUGGCUCAGUCGGUUGAGCGUCCGACUUCGGCCCAGGUCACGAUCUCGUGGGUCCGUGGGUUCGAGCCCCGCAUUGGGCU
rnacentral:tRNA from 1 species